AUUGAACGCUGGCGGCAGGCCUAACACAUGCAAGUCGAGCGGAUGAAGGGAGCUUGCUCCUGGAUUCAGCGGCGGACGGGUGAGUAAUGCCUAGGAAUCUGCCUGGUAGUGGGGGAUAACGUCCGGAAACGGGCGCUAAUACCGCAUACGUCCUGAGGGAGAAAGUGGGGGAUCUUCGGACCUCACGCUAUCAGAUGAGCCUAGGUCGGAUUAGCUAGUUGGUGGGGUAAAGGCCUACCAAGGCGACGAUCCGUAACUGGUCUGAGAGGAUGAUCAGUCACACUGGAACUGAGACACGGUCCAGACUCCUACGGGAGGCAGCAGUGGGGAAUAUUGGACAAUGGGCGAAAGCCUGAUCCAGCCAUGCGGCGUGUGUGAAGAAGGUCUUCGGAUUGUAAAGCACUUUAAGUUGGGAGGAAGGGCAGUAAGUUAAUACCUUGCUGUUUUGACGUUACCAACAGAAUAAGCACCGGCUAACUUCGUG
rnacentral:rRNA from 1 species